rnacentral:rRNA from 1 species
UGGGGAAUAUUGCACAAUGGGCGCAAGCCUGAUGCAGCCAUGCCGCGUGUGUGAAGAAGGCCUUCGGGUUGUAAAGCACUUUCAGCGGGGAGGAAGGCGUUAAGGUUAAUAACCUUGGCGAUUGACGUUACCGACAGAAGAAGCACCGGCUAACUCCGUGCCAGCAGCCGCGGUAAUACGGAGGGUGCAAGCGUUAAUCGGAAUUACUGGGCGUAAAGCGCACGCAGGCGGUUGAUUGAGUCAGAUGUGAAAUCCCCGGGCUUAACCCGGGAAUUGCAUCUGAUACUGGCAAGCUUGAGUCUCGUAGAGGGGGGUAGAAUUCCAGGUGUAGCGGUGAAAUGCGUAGAGAUCUGGAGGAAUACCGGUGGCGAAGGCGGCCCCCUGGACAAAGACUGACGCUCGGGUGCGAAAGCGUGGGGGGCAAACAGG